rnacentral:lncRNA from 1 species
UUGUGGGUGGUAGCUGGUAUGUUGGUGGAAACUCCAUGCUUCCAUGGAACCAGCUGUAGAGGAGUGGUGAUGCAAUGAGCAUCCUGGAAGUUUAGUUGUCAUUUGUCACCUUUUGGAUAAUGGAGUAGAUUUCUGAAGCUAUUUCUCCUUGUUUGGUGUUCUGCCUGCAAUUUGGACAAGUGGACUUCAGAUUAUGUCUUCGUAGACUGAAAGGCUUGGGACUACUUUGGUUUUCUGGGGGUCCACUUCAGACCCUAGUUGCCUUGGUUUUUCCCAUACCUGGAGAUGUCACCAGUGAAGCCUGGGAAACAGCAAAGAGGGCAGCCUGAUCGUUCAUCUGGAAACUUUGUUCCAGCAUAAGAAGCCUCUCACCCUAAACAUCACAGCUGGGAAUAUGCUGGACCACAACUAAAGCCAGCAUGGCACUGACUCUGACCAAAGGUGAGACCCAGUACUCAUCAAGGAUUAGCUUCCAGGGGUCCUAGCAAGGUGCAUCACAGUGUCAAGAAUGCACUGCAUUCAGAGAAGUUCAAACUAUGGAUUCCCACCAGAGAAGCCUGAAGUGCUCUGAAGGCUGCCAACAAAAUGUCAAGUGAGUCCACUGACAAAAAGGAAGAGAAACCUUGGAAAAACAUUAUUGCUUAUGUUCCAUCUGAAUCUGAGCAGCUGACCUGAGGAAGGAGGGAAGCACAGGGAAGUGGAACAUCAGAGAGGAGAAGCCUGGCUCAACUUGGCAGAGAAGGCAUCUUCAGAGAAGGAGUGCCCACACUGACACCUGAAUGAUGACUAGUGCUUAACCAGAUGAACUGGAUGAGAAAGGCAUUUCAGACACAGGGCAUAGCAUGAACAAGGGUCCAGAGAUGAGGGUGCAAGCAGAGUCCAGGGUGCACAGGGAGUUCAGUACAGCUGGAGCUCAGAUGCUAGGGAGAGGAGUAGGGAGAAAAGAGGCUCCAUUACAAAAAUGUAGGCAUGAGAUCAAAGGGAACCUGGAGUACUAUGCUAAGGGGACUCAAUCCUAGGUGAUGGGGAGGCAUUGAAGGAUUUAGGUGAGAUUGGCAUUUAGGAAGCUCACUUGAAGCAGUGUUGAAUGGGUAGGAGUGGGGUAAGACUGGAGCUGGUGCAGCAAUAUGGGUGAGUGUAGCUGUGUGUGAAAAAAGGUCCGAGUUUAAUGGGAAAACUAAGGAGUGUGGGGUGGGAGGAAACUUGAUGAGAGAGGAUUUCCAAGGAUAAUAUUCUAGAUGUGUGGGUUGAUGACAAUGCUGAGAGCAGGGACAGAGGAAGAGAAGCAGGCUUGCUGGGGGGAAAUGAUGAACUUCUUGAGGUUCUUACCAGACACCUAAGUGGAGAUGCCCUUUGGGUGCCACAUGCGCCCACACUGCUGAUAAGGGAUCUGCAUAGUGGGGGGAGAUUUGGAAGUCAAUGAAGCCACAGAUAGGGAUGAGCUUUUCAAAGAAGAGUGUGUGGAGUGAAAGGGUUAGGGACAUAGAACCAAACCCUGAGACCCACUCCACUGAAGGCAAAGAAGAGGAGGAGUAUACAGAGAACACAAGGAAGAAGUGGUCAAAACGUAGAAGGAAGAUUGGUCUCCAGGGGUGGGGGGGGGGGGUCCUGAAUUUGAGCAUGAUUUUUAGUGCACAAUAGAUCCCACAGAGCUUUCAAGAAACACUUGGUGGUUGGUGAAGACCCAAAUAAUGGUGAGUGUGUUUUACAUUUUAGAGUUCCAGGUAAUUUUCCUUCUUGGUAUCAUCUGGUUAUGGUAUAUAAUUUGGAGGAAAAAACUACUUUCAUUCACUUUUUAUUUUUCCUCAGAAAGACUUGAAGAAAUACAAAACCAUAGGACUUUUGGUAUGUGAUGGAGACAUUCCAUACAAUUAGUACAGAACAUAGACAAAUGGAAAAUAUUGUGUUUUGCUUGAAAUUAUCUCUGUGGACUAAAAUGUAAACCUAGAUUUUGCAUAUGCAUGUGUAUUUAUUAAUGACAUUAUUUAACUCUCAUUCUAGAUAGUUUUGUGUUGAACUCUAUUUAGAUGAGUAGAGACAUACUAAUUAUCUCAGUUAAUUAGCCAAAAUAAAUCUACAUAGUUUAACACAUCAAAGAUUUAUUUUCCACUCAUGGUUUAUAUUUACUAUGGGUCAGUGGGAGUUAUGCUCCACAUGAUUACUCAGGGAUUCACUCUGACAUGGGUCCACCGUAUUUUUUUUUUUUUUUUGAGACAGAGUAU